UACAACACUAGCUUACCCUUUACCAGUGAGGUCAUCACAGUACAACACUAGCUUACCCUUUAACAGUGAGGACCCCACAGUACAACACUAGCUUAUCCUUGACCAGUGAGGACCCCACAGUACAACACUAGCUUACCCUUUGACCAGUGAGGACCCCACAGUACAACACUAGCUUAUCCUUGACCAGUGAGGUCCCCAAAGUACAACACUGGCUUACCCUUUACCAGUGAGGACCCCACAGUACAACACUAGAUUAUCCUUGACCAGUGAGGUCAUCACAGUACAACACUAGCUUACCCUUGACCAGUGAAGUCAUCACAGUACAACACUAGCUUACCCUUUACCAGUGAGGUCAUUACAGUACAACACUAGCUUACCCUUGACCAGUGAGGUCAACACAGUACAACACUAGCUUAUCCUUGACCAGUGAGGUCCCCACAAUACAACACCGGCUUACCCUUUACCAGUGAGGACACCACAGUACAACACUGGCUUAUCCUUGACCAGUGAGGUCCCUACAGUACAACACCGGCUUACUCUUGACCAGUGAGGACCCCACAGUACAACACUGGCUUAUCCUUGACCAGUGAGGUCCCCACAAGUACAACACCGGCUUACUCUUGACCAGUGAGGACCCCACAUUACA